rnacentral:rRNA from 1 species
UCAGUAGGACUACCCGCUGAACUUAAGCAUAUCAUAAGCGGAGGAA